AUACCUUUCUCGGCCUUUUGGCUAAGAUCAAGUGUAGUAUCUGUUCUUAUCAGUUUAAUAUCUGAUACGUGGAUCAUUGAUCCACAUGAUAUUAAAUUAAUUUUUCUCAGGGGAAGGCCCACUACGGUAGCUUGCUACUGGGGUCUUCGAGCGUUGCCUUUGCUUUGCACUACUGCAAGGGCCUGGCACAUCCCCC